UCAGUAACGGCGAGUGAAGCGGUAACAGCUCAAAUUUGAAAUCUGGCCUCACGGUCCGAGUUGUAAUUUGUAGAGGAUGCUUCGAGCAUGGUCUGGCCUAAGUUCCUUGGAACAGGACGUCAUAGAGGGUGAGAAUCCCGUAUGCGGCCAGGUGCCUACGCUCAUGUGAAGCUCCUUCGACGAGUCGAGUUGUUUGGGAAUGCAGCUCAAAAUGGGUGGUAAAUUUCAUCUAAAGCUAAAUAUUGGCCAGAGACCGAUAGCGCACAAGUAGAGUGAUCGAAAGAUGAAAAGCACUUUGGAAAGAGAGUUAAACAGUACGUGAAAUUGUUGAAAGGGAAGCGCUUGCAACCAGACUUGCGCGCGGCCGAUCAUCCGGUGUUCUCACCGGUGCACUCGGCCGUGCUCAGGCCAGCAUCGGUUUUGGCGGCUGGAUAAAGGCCCUAGGAAUGUAGCUCCUCUCGGGGAGUGUUAUAGCCUAGGGUGCAAUGCAGCCUGCUGGGACCGAGGACCGCGCUUCGGCUAGGAUGCUGGCGUAAUGGUUGUAAGCGGCCCGUCUUGAAACACGGACCAAGGAGUCUAACAUCUAUGCGAGUGUUUGGGUGUCAAACCCAUACGCGUAAUGAAAGUGAACGGAGGUGAGAACCCUUAAGGGUGCAUCAUCGACCGGUCCUGAAGUUUACGGAAGGAUCUGAGUAAGAGCAUAGCUGUUGGGACCCGAAAGAUGGUGAACUAUGCCUGAAUAGGGUGAAGCCAGAGGAAACUCUGGUGGAGGCUCGCAGCGGUUCUGACGUGCAAAUCGAUCGUCAAAUUUGGGUAUAGGGGCGAAAGAC
rnacentral:rRNA from 1 species